UAAAAUGUUCUUUUUAUUUAUUUAUACAUAUUAUCACUGUAUAAAUAGAGAGAGAUAGUGUACCUGUUUUCUGAGUUUUGGUCACGUGACAUUCACAAGUUGAGCUGUGAUUGGUCGUUACCUGAGCAACCGUGAUGUCAUUUUCAGUCGACAUCCCGUGGCAAAAUGGCUGCCCAUUUAAGACGGAGAAAAAGGCCAACACGAUCGAAAUAUCAACCUGAAUGACAUGUUUUGACUGUAGUGGCAACACAUAUAACUGCAAAAAACAUUUUUUUUACUUAACCUGCCCUUAAAUGGCACUCCCCUUCGAAUAUUUUUCAUGCGUUCCACUCUCGUUAGGUCAACGAGGGUAAAUGGUGACAUCAUCAUCAAUCAAUGACAUCAUCUUUCCAUGAUCAAGAGCAACAGGUGAAGCUUAAAGGCUGGAAAAAGACUCAAGUGUGUCCGAGAGAGAGACAGAUGGAAAGAGAGAGGCGAUGGAAAAAGUCGUUAGACACGGGCGGACUUGUGGCUCAUCCCCGGCAGAUCCUGCAGACCCCCGGCCCCUACUGACAGCACAAUGACAAAUAGGGCACCAACGAGAGGCUGAACAUGAGGCUUUCCUUGUUGGCGCUAACUGUACAUGACCUUACGUUGAGGUUUUUCAUACGUCAGCUGACAAUGAUCAUUGCGGCGAGUGGAAUUUCAUUUCGAACUUCCUGACAACCCACCCCGGCCCCCUCCACCUCCACCAGUCUCCUCCGGCCGCCGACGACCCCCCCGCGCCUCCUCGUGUAAGGACCUCGGAGUUCCACCGGCG